UGGGGAAUUUUGGACAAUGGGCGAAAGCCUGAUCCAGCAAUGCCGCGUGUGUGAAGAAGGCCUUCGGGUUGUAAAGCACUUUUGUCCGGAAAGAAAUCCUUGGCUCUAAUACAGUCGGGGGAUGACGGUACCGGAAGAAUAAGCACCGGCUAACUACGUGCCAGCAGCCGCGGUAAUACGUAGGGUGCAAGCGUUAAUCGGAAUUACUGGGCGUAAAGCGUGCGCAGGCGGUUUGCUAAGACCGAUGUGAAAUCCCCGGGCUCAACCUGGGAACUGCAUUGGUGACUGGCAGGCUAGAGUAUGGCAGAGGGGGGUAGAAUUCCACGUGUAGCAGUGAAAUGCGUAGAGAUGUGGAGGAAUACCGAUGGCGAAGGCAGCCCCCUGGGCCAAUACUGACGCUCAUGCACGAAAGCGUGGGGAGCAAAACAGGAUUAGAUACCCUGGUAGUCCACGCCCUAAAACGAUGUCAACUAGUUGUUGGGGAUUCAUUUCCUUAGUAACGUAGCUAACGCGUGAAGUUGACCGCCUGGGGAGUACGGUCGCAAGAUUAAAACUUAAAGGAAUUGACGGGGUCAUAGCUGUUUCCU
rnacentral:rRNA from 1 species